rnacentral:rRNA from 1 species
CUGAAUAGGGCGCUUAGUCAGAUGCUGCAGACCCGAAACGAAGUGAUCUAUCCAUGAGCAAGUUGAAGCUAGUGUAAGAACUAGUGGAGGACUGAACCCAUAGGCGUUGAAAAGCCCCGGGAUGACUUGUGGAUAGGGGUGAAAGGCCAAUCAAACUUCGUGAUAGCUGGUUCUCUCCGAAAUAUAUUUAGGUAUAGCGUUGUGUCGUAAUAUAAGGGGGUAGAGCACUGAAUGGGCUAGGGCAUACACCAAUGUACCAAACCCUAUCAAACUCCGAAUACCUUAUAUGUAAUCACAGCAGUCAGGCGGCGAGUGAUAAAAUCCGUCGUCAAGAGGGAAACAACCCAGACUACCAGCUAAGGUCCCUAAAUCUUACUUAAGUGGAAAACGAUGUGAAGUUACUUAAACAACCAGGAGGUUGGCUUAGAAGCAGCCAUCCUUUAAAGAAAGCGUAAUAGCUCACUGGUCUAGUGAUUUUGCGCGGAAAAUAUAACGGGGCUAAAGUAAGUACCGAAGCUGUAGACUUGCGCACAACUUAGAUUAUUUAAGUUUAGAAUAUGAGAAACUAAGUUAUAUGUUUAGUUAUAUUUUUACUGAUUUUUAUAGAGUAAAGAUAGAAAUAAAACUUAGUAAAAUCAGUAAAAAUAUUCUUAGACUAAAGUUAAGUAGUUUAAGUUGUGUGCAAGUGGUAGGAGAGCGUUCUAUUUGCGUCGAAGGUAUACCGGUAAGGAGUGCUGGAGCGAAUAGAAGUGAGCAUGCAGGCAUGAGUAGCGAUAAUUAAUGUGAGAAUCAUUAACGCCGUAAACCCAAGGUUUCCUACGCGAUGCUCGUCAUCGUAGGGUUAGUCGGGUCCUAAGUCGAGUCCGAAAGGGGUAGACGAUGGCAAAUUGGUUAAUAUUCCAAUACCAACAUUAGUGUGCGAUGGAAGGACGCUUAGGGCUAAGGGGGCUAGCGGAUGGAAGUGCUAGUCUAAGGUCGUAGGAGGUUAUACAGGCAAAUCCGUAUAACAAUACUCCGAGAACUGAAAGGCUUUUUGAAGUCUUCGGAUGGAUAGAAGAACCCCUGAUGCCGUCGAGCCAAGAAAAGUUUCUAAGUUUAGCUAAUGUUGCCCGUACCGUAAACCGACACAGGUGGGUGGGAUGAGUAUUCUAAGGCGCGUGGAAGAACUCUCUUUAAGGAACUCUGCAAAAUAGCACCGUAUCUUCGGUAUAAGGUGUGGUUCGCUUCGUAUUAGGAUUUACUCCGAAAGCGAAGAAACUUACAACAAAGAGUCCCUCCCGACUGUUUACCAAAAACACAGCACUCUGCUAACUCGUAAGAGGAUGUAUAGGGUGUGACGCCUGCCCGGUGCUCGAAGGUUAAUUGAUGGGGUUAGCAUUAGCGAAGCUCUUGAUCGAAGCCCGAGUAAACGGCGGCCGUAACUAUAACGGUCCUAAGGUAGCGAAAUUCCUUGUCGGUUAAAUACCGACCUGCAUGAAUGGCGUAACGAGAUGGGAGCUGUCUCAAAGAGGGAUCCAGUGAAAUUGUAGUGGAGGUGAAAAUUCCUCCUACCCGCGGCAAGACGGAGAGACCCCGUGGACCUUUACUACAGCUUGACACUGCUAUUUGGAUAAGAAUGUGCAGGAUAGGUGGGAGGCUUUGAGUAUAUGACGCCAGUUGUAUAUGAGCCAUUGUUGAGAUACCACUCUUUCUUAUUUGGGUAGCUAACCAGCUUGAGUUAUCCUCAAGUGGGACAAUGUCUGGUGGGUAGUUUGACUGGGGCGGUCGCCUCCCAAAUAAUAACGGAGGCUUACAAAGGUUGGCUCAGAACGGUUGGAAAUCGUUCGUAGAGUAUAAAGGUAUAAGCCAGCUUAACUGCAAGACAUACAAGUCAAGCAGAGACGAAAGUCGGUCUUAGUGAUCCGGUGGUUCUGUGUGGAAGGGCCAUCGCUCAAAGGAUAAAAGGUACCCCGGGGAUAACAGGCUGAUCUCCCCCAAGAGCUCACAUCGACGGGGAGGUUUGGCACCUCGAUGUCGGCUCAUCGCAUCCUGGGGCUGGAGCAGGUCCCAAGGGUAUGGCUGUUCGCCAUUUAAAGCGGUACGCGAGCUGGGUUCAGAACGUCGUGAGACAGUUCGGUCCCUAUCUGCCGUGGGCGUAAGAAGAUUGAAGAGAUUUGACCCUAGUACGAGAGGACCGGGUUGAACAAACCACUGGUGUAGCUGUUGUUCUGCCAAGAGCAUCGCAGCGUAGCUAAGUUUGGAAAGGAUAAACGCUGAAAGCAUCUAAGCGUGAAGCCAACUCUAAGAUGAAUCUUCUCUAAGCUCUCUAGAAGACUACUAGUUUGAUAGGCUGGGUGUGUAAUGGAUGAAAGUCCUUUAGCUGACCAGUACUAAUAGAGCGUUUGGCUUAUCUUUAAUAAAGCAU